UCGGGAAUUUUGGGCAAUGGGCGAAAGCCUGACCCAGCAACGCCGCGUGAAGGAUGAAGUAUUUCGGUAUGUAAACUUCGUAAGAAUAGGAAGAAUAAAUGACGGUACUAUUUGUAAGGUCCGGCUAACUACGUGCCAGCAGCCGCGGUAAUACGUAGGGACCAAGCGUUUGUUCGGAUUUACUGGGCGUAAAGGGCGCGUAGGCGGUGUGUCAAGUCAGUUGUGAAAUCUCCGAGCUUAACUCGGAACGGUCAACUGAUACUGUCACACUAGAGUACAGAAGGGGCAAUCGGAAUUCUUGGUGUAGCGGUGAAAUGCGUAGAUAUCAAGAGGAACACCUGAGGCGAAGGCGGUUGCUGGGCUGAUACUGACGCUGAGGCGCGAAAGCUAGGGUAGCAAACGGGAUUAGAUACCCUCGUAGUCCCUGAGCGGGCUGGCAAGGCGCAU
rnacentral:rRNA from 1 species